UCACUUAAGAUUACCAUACUUUAGUAACCUCCACAUAUAUUUAACUGCUUAAUGCAAUGAGAAAACUACCAUAAGGAUUCAAUAUCCUUUACUAAAGUGCCCAAAAACUUCAUCCAAUAGAUUGUCAAGAUCAAAACUUCUAUCAUGCUCAACUCUGAUAACAUUUUGCAGUUGACCAAUAUACUCAUCUAAUUUGUACUCACACACAUAUAUGAAUCUAAAUAGAAGCCAUUGGAACUUAUAUUAACAACAAACCUAGAGGUCUAAACAAAUGGAAAUCAGUAACUACCGAACAACAAUCCCCAUUACAAUUUCAAUAUAAGACUUAAGGUUUGAAGCACAACCUCAUUCUAAAUUAGGCAAAAAUAAGAAAUUAACACAGCAAGCUGAAAAAUAAAAUAAAGAACAAGAACAUCUGAUAAUGGAAAACAUAAAUAUUCAUCUUCCUUCACAAUAAUGCAUGAAGCAUUCCUUUACAUGCUUAAGAUCAGGGAUAUGUACCUGAAUAUAGCAAAAUAGAGCAGAAAAUAAUCUUUAAAUCAAGGGAACCAGCAGUAGCAAAAUUCAACAGCAAGAAACCAACAACAAACCGCGAUUGAAAAACCAAUUGGGAUUCGAAAUAACCCCAGAAACCUUUGAAGCCCUCAUAUGUUAAAAUAACAGGAAAGCUUAAACAAUUCCUACUCCCAGAUGAAUCAGAGAUUGUUUCAGAAUUUGAAAGCUACCAAAACGAAAAAUUUCAUUGGAACAAUAGUUUUAUGGAUAUUUUCUUAGCUAUUUUUUGAGUUUUCAGAGUUUUAUCUAUAUUUUUCCUCUAAAAUCUCUAAAUUCCUUCUUCAAAAUAUGAAAUCUAAAAAUCUCUCCUCAAAAUCUCCUCUAAUAUCCGAUUUGAG
rnacentral:lncRNA from 1 species